UACGUAGGGGGCAAGCGUUGUCCGGAAUCAUUGGGCGUAAAGAGCGUGUAGGCGGCCCGGUCAGUCCGCCGUGAAAGUCCAGGGCUCAACCCUGGAAUGCCGGUGGAUACUGCCCGGGCUGGAGUCCGGAAGAGGCGAGUGGAAUUCCUGGGUGUAGCGGUGAAAUGCGCAGAUAUCAGGAGGAACACCGAUGGCGAAGGCGGCGACCUGGUCCGUGACUGACGCUGAGGCGCGAAAGCGUGGGGAGC
rnacentral:rRNA from 1 species